rnacentral:rRNA from 1 species
GACCCGGGGCGUUAACCUCCGGAAUUGCAUUUGUAAACUAGGCAGGCUAGAGUCUUGUUAGAGGGGGGUAGGGAAUUUCUAGGUGUAGCGGUGAAAUAGCGUAGAGAUCUGAAGGAAUACCAGUGGCGAAGGCGGCCCCCCUCGGACAAAGACUGACGCUCAGAUGCGAAAGCGUGGGGAGCAAACAGGAUUAGAUACCCCUGGUAG